UACGUAGGGUGCGAGCGUUGUCCGGAAUUAUUGGGCGUAAAGAGCUCGUAGGCGGUGUGUCGCGUCGGCCGUGAAAACCUGGGGCUCAACUCUGGGCGUGCGGUCGAUACGGGCAUCACUUGAGUUCGGCAGGGGAGACUGGAAUUCCUGGUGUAGCGGUGAAAUGCGCAGAUAUCAGGAGGAAUACCGAUGGCGAAGGCAGGUCUCUGGGCUGACACUGACGCUCAUGCACGAAAGCGUGGGGAGCAAACAGG
rnacentral:rRNA from 1 species